rnacentral:rRNA from 1 species
UACAGAGGGUGCGAGCGUUGUCCGGAAUCACUGGGCGUAAAGGGCGCGUAGGCGGUCUGCUAAGCGUGCGGUGAAAGCCCGGGGCUCAACCCCGGGUCGGCCGUGCGAACUGGUGGACUGGAGCUUGUCAGAGGCAGGCGGAAUUCCGGGUGUAGCGGUGAAAUGCGUAGAGAUCCGGAAGAACACCGGUGGCGAAGGCGGCCUGCUGGGACAGUGCUGACGCUGAAGCGCGACAGCGUGGGGAGCAAACAGG